rnacentral:rRNA from 1 species
AACGAACGCUGGCGGCAUGCCUAACACAUGCAAGUCGAACGAGACCUUCGGGUCUAGUGGCGCACGGGUGCGUAACGCGUGGGAAUCUGCCCUUGGGUUCGGAAUAACAGUUAGAAAUGACUGCUAAUACCGGAUAAUGUCUUCGGACCAAAGAUUUGUCGCCCAGGGAUGAGCCCGCGUAGGAUUAGCUAGUUGGUGAGGUAAAGGCUCACCAAGGCGACGAUCCUUAGCUGGUCUGAGAGGAUGAUCAGCCACACUGGGACUGAGACACGGCCCAGACUCCUACGGGAGGCAGCAGUGGGGAAUAUUGGACAAUGGGCGAAAGCCUGAUCCAGCAAUGCCGCGUGAGUGAUGAAGGCCUUAGGGUUGUAAAGCUCUUUUACCCGGGAUGAUAAUGACAGUACCGGGAGAAUAAGCCCCGGCUAACUCCGUGCCAGCAGCCGCGGU